CCGGCCUCCCAUUGGCGCGCCGUUAACUCAUCCUAUUAUUUAUUAAAGGUACAUGAAUGGGUAAUUGCUGUGUGUGUGAUAUUUGGCCGGACGACGGCUGAUCGAGGCAAAUCGCAAUCGCCCAAAUCGUGCAGUGCGGGUGUCGAGUGCGAGGAGUGCCCUGUGCCCCUGCCCUUGCGAUGAAGCCGCGGCGCGACCGCGACCUAGGGUAGUCGGAGCACCAUGUCCGGAAAGGGCUAGGAUGGAGGAAGGGCCGGAUCUGUCUCACCUCACUCCCGAAGAGCGGGCCAUCAUCGAGUCCGUCAUGGUCCGGCAGAAGCAGGAGGAGGAGCGCGAGCAGGAAAUCAUGAGACGCAAAGCCGACGAAGUCCACAUCCUCGAGGAGACGAUACGCGCCCGCAACGAACAACACAAGAAGGCCGGCAUCGAGCUGGACGCCACCUGUCACAUCUGCCUCAAGACCAAGUUCGCCGACGGCGUCGGCCACCUGUGCAACUACUGCUCGAUCCGGUGCUGCGCCCGCUGCGGCGGCAAGGUCACUCUCAGAUCAAACAAGGUGGUCUGGGUUUGCAUACUAUGCAGGAAAAAGCAAGAGCUGCUCAGUAAGACCGGGCAAUGGAUGCUGACCGGGCCGAACGCGGGGGACGCGGACCUCACUCCCAUCCAGCAGGCGCCAUCCGACAAGAGACCUAAGCUAGAGCGGGCGCAUUCGGCGGCGGAGAAGGAGAACCAACCUCUGCAGAGGUCCGGCAGCGUGCUGCGGCGGCAGUACUCGGAGCAGGAGCCGCGCACCCCAUCUUGCGAACGCUACAACCCGCAGUACAACGAGGACGACCCUCGGUACUACCAGGGCGAGCUCGAGGGCCUCAUGCGCACGCAUCCGCACCUGGUGCCGCGGCGGUACCCGGACCCCGAGCCAGAACCCCUGCCCAUGGACAUCCCGGCGCGGAUGCCCUCGACGACAAGUGCCAACAAGAAACACAAGCGCAGCGGCUCGACCAAGAAACACCAGCACAAUCCGCAACCGCAACUGCAGCGCUCCUUCUCGAGCUCGGAGGAGGACCUCAAGUCGACGCCUGAAUACGGCAGCGACGACCGCGACAGCGAGAAAGGAGGCAACGGAGACUGGCCUCCCCUAAGCCACUAUAUCGUCGCACCUCAGCAUAGGCCUCUGCAGGACGUAACCGCCGACAAUAGAUGUUUCACGGAGAGGAGAAAGAAGACGGUGAGAUUUGACCAACACGAGAACUGGGACAGGCAAGGAUCGCAGGACUCCCACAGGGAUUCGGGCAUUGACACUUCUUCCACCUUCACCUCCAGCGAGGAUUCCACUCGCGGAGACGUGCCCAAGCACCCCCUAUCGUGGCAAGUCUCUGCCGACGGUAGCCGGAUGAUCGGCCACAUGAUCCUACGAAGAAACGCCAGAGAGACGACCGGUUCGAGCGCAGCCAUACUCGGCCUUAAAGUAGUAGGAGGCAGGAUCCUCGAGAACGGCCUCAGGGGUGCCCUGAUCGAGAAGGUGAAGAAAGGCAGCAUCGCCGACAUCGAGGGUCAGUUGCGGCCGGGUGACGAGGUGAUCGAGUGGAACGGCCGCGUCCUCCAGGGUAAAACAUAUCAAGAAGUGGCCGACAUCAUCGCCGAGAGCAAGCAAGAGGCCAACGUGGAACUGAUAGUAUCUCGUAGUAUGGGUAGUAGACGUGCCGCCCAAGCGACGUGGAGGCAAUCUAUGGCACACAGAGGUCAGAGCGGCCAGUGGCACCAGGAGGUCGAAGGCUACGAGCGUCCGCACGUCCUCGUCACGUCGCCGGGCAGUCCCGAGCGGCCGCGGCCGAGUCCGGCCCUGGCGCCGAGCGUCGGAGGGCGGAUCCAGAUCCGGCUCGGAUUCGACCCCACCACUCUGCAGUUGCUGGUCACGAUAGUGUGCGCGGCGGGACUGACGCCUCGCUCGCCUCACCAGCCCCGGAACCCCUACUGCAAGCUCUUCCUCCUGCCCGACCGGUCGGAGAAGUCCAAGCGGCGGACCCGCACCCUCGCAGGGACGACCGAGCCCAUGUGGAACCAGACCUUCGUCUACUCCGGCCUUCGCAGAGCGGACCUCCGUCAACGCGCGCUCGAGAUCACGGUGUGGGACUAUGUGCGUUACGGCGCCAACGAUUUUUUAGGCGAAAGCAUAGUGGAGUUGUGGCCUUUGGACGAGCAGCCGACUUGGCGCACCCUCGGACCGCACGAGGAGGUCGCUUUGACGCCCAGCGAACACCUCUCGCCGCCCAGCACCGGCUCCCGCUUCUCCGACUCGGACACGCCGUCCGAGUGCGAGAUCGACGGCGGACGGGAGAGGCGCGGCGCCGACGGGGCAAGCGUCAGCAGCGUCGGAAGCUCGUCGUCGCCGCCCAACGAGCGAAAAUCCAGGAGAGACCAAGAGACGAUGAACGCGUACGCCACGCAAGGAUACCGACGCAGCGGCAUGUCGGGCCAGCGCUCGCACUCCGCCGCCCCCUGCGACUCUCCCAGCGCGCACAUGUCGCGCUCCCGCUCCAAGUCGCCCAGGCGCUCCGCCACCGACCACCGUUCCCUGUCGCCGCCCAUCGCCGUCGCCGAUUACCCGCCAACAACUUACGUCGUGCCUCGUUUCCAAUCCCGCUCGGCGACGGCAACCCCGACCGGCUCGCCGAAGAAACGUCAACUGCCCCAAGUGCCCCAAGCGCUGGCGAGAGCCCUCCAGGAGCGCGUCGCUCAAGACCUCGACCAGGACAGGAAGCACAGGAUGCGCUACGUCCAUACGUACAGGAGCACGGGCGCGGGAUGGGAGCGGCGGUACAGUGGACUGAGUGACAGUGAUUUGGCGAACCAUGCGCGGGUCUCGAGGAGGGGACAGUCGCCCGAGAGGGACAGGGACCCUUUGGGGUUGGGGGAUUUCGACAGCGACAUGGAGUCCGUGGCGUCGGUGACGAGUAGUGCGUUCUCCACACAAUCGGAACGGCCGAGGGGCACCAAGACGAUCAGUACCGAAUAUGGAGGAGGCAGCGACCGGUACGGCUACACGACAGGCCACCGAACGGCGGCGCCGAGGAACUCGAGGGACAGGGGCCAGGACCUGAGGGAGCCGAUGGAACCCAUCGACCCGCAUCACAACCACCACCACCACCAUCAUCACCAUCACCACAACAGGGAGAGCAGCAUAAAGAGAGGGCAGUUCACUAGGAGCCUGUCGAACACGGAACCGCCGCCCGACGAGAAAGCAGAUUUUCACGCAAUUGCAGAUGGUAGUCUGAGCGACACGGCCGUGGGCCAGAUGCACGGCCUGGAGGUGCCCCAGAAGGAGAUCGCGAGGAAGGAAAGCCAGCGGGAGAGGGAGAGGGAGAGGGCGGACCGGCAGGCCGCGCAGUUCGUCGGCCUCAGUAAAAAGAGUAAUUCGACAAGUCAGUUGUCGGCAACAGGUCGCAAGCGGCGGAUGGGCUUCGGUCGCAGGGGCAAGACUUCGUUCACCGUCCAUCGGUCGGAGGAGGUCCUUCCCGGGGACGUGCGACUCUCCAAGCAGGGCUCGUCGGCGUCCAGCGACGGAGAGGGCUCGGCCGACGGCGACAGGUGGUCGCCGUCCCUGCGGCUGGCGGGCGAGAGCGGCCAGCUGGCGGACUUCAUCGACGGGUUGGGGCCGGGCCAGCUGGUGGGCCGCCAGGUGCUGGGCGCGCCGGCCCUGGGCGACAUCCAGCUGUCGUUGUGCUACCAGAAAGGCUUCCUGGAAGUGGAGGUGAUACGAGCGAGGGGGCUGCAGGCGAGGCCAGGCUCCAAGGUCCUGCCAGCGCCCUACGUCAAGGUGUACCUGGUGAACGGGAAGAAAUGCAUAGCGAAGGCGAAGACGUCGACGGCGCGACGCACGCUGGACCCGCUGUACCAGCAGCAACUGGCGUUCAGGGAGAACUUCCAAGGCUGCAUACUCCAGGUGACCGUCUGGGGUGACUACGGACGCAUUGAAGGCAAGAAGGUCUUCAUGGGCGUCGCCCAGAUAAUGCUGGACGACCUGAACCUGAGCAAUAUCGUCAUAGGAUGGUAUAAGCUGUUCGGGACGACAUCCCUGGUUAGUGGGCCUCCUUCGCUCGGUCUAUCUCGACGCAGCUCCAUGGCUAGCUUAGAUUCCCUCAAGUUCUAACACAUUCCAUCGCAUCACUCCACACACUGUCGUAUUUCUCUGUCUCAUCAUACACUUGUCACUCUCCCAUCAUACUCAUCAUCACCGAUCCUCGUAGUCUUCGCAUUGCUGCCGACGUUAGUUUCCUCCACUUCACUAGUGAGAACGAUUUCCCGGUUCCUGGGCCGAGGAUCCUUGACGACGACUCCGAGAAGCGUCGGAAUAUUCGCCGGAAGUGCUCGAUUGAACAUAUACAUGAGACUAUAUUCGAGAUGAAAGAGGCAGUCCCGGCGAAUAUUCUUCGUCCGUUCGUACUUUAUCAGAGUAUUAUUCCCUCGUACGGUAUGGUGCGGUUUAGACAGUAGUAGCAGAUUUAUUAAACUAGUAAUAGUGUAAAGUGAAGAAUAUAUAAGUGUAGAUAUGGCGCACACAUAUAAAUAUAGUCUCACAUAACAUCAUAUCCAAAAUAUUUGUUAUAUGACGGCGGGGCGGCCCGGAGAACUACCCCGUGUCUACAGGCUCAGCGGCGUCAGCACGACGACCCGCCGCGAGCGAAUCGUGCUUUUCCGGGGUGUCCCGCGCGAAAAAAAAAAAUGCUUCAUUGGAAUUGAUAAAUUGCUUUUUUACUUGAAAACUAAGUAAUGACAAGAAAUUAGGUCGUGUUAAUGAACUAUGUAAAUGAUAAUGACAUUGUAGAACUGUAUAUGAACGUUUAAUUGUAACAUAUAAUUUAUUCUUGAUUGUUGAAUUGCAUGUGAUAUAACUUGACAUUUUAUGUUGUCUGUUUGAAUUUCCCGCUUCGAUCAUCUCCGUUCUGAAGCACAGAUGUCGCGACGUUUCCGUUUUGUGUAUAAUAAACAAGAUAACAUCGAAAACUGUAUUGUAAUCGAAUCUCGCGGUUCUCUCGUUUUUGUAAGGUUUGUAUGAAUUUUUAGAAAGCGCGAAAAGGGGGCGCUGCGCGCACGCACUCGCGGCCGACUGAGAUUUCGCGAGCGAGACGGGUAGAUAGACGACGGGCGGGUGCGCGAAACGCGCCCUUUUCGCGUCGUUUAGACGACGAGAAACGAUCCAAAUAUGCUUCGAAAGCUUUAAUCCGCUUGAAACCCAGAGUAUAUCAUACGUAACAACAAGGAUAUAAGCGAUUAACCGUAUAUUGUAUAUAAGUUUGAACUUGGUUAUUCUAAAUUGUAAUACACUGCAUACAGUUCAAGUGGUUGAUUUACGUAUUAUAAAAUAUCAAUAGUUAGUUUUUCUACGCUGUUCUUUAAUAAAAAUAAGACAUCCACUCCAUGGAUCAUGUUGUAUAAACUCCCAGUCGUAACCAAGGUCCGUCAACAGUGUUAAUAUUAUACCUAGUCAUACUGUCUGUCGUCGAGAUCCCUUAUCAAUUACUUACUGUGUAGAUAUUCGCCUUCAUUAUUAUACAAAACUAGUUACUGUUCGCACCAGCCAGCCGCGCCCCGCCCGGUACUCUUCAAAAGAAAGGACUUGUAAAUUGCAUCAAUUGGACUUAAAUACGGUCAGUACGGCGGCGGGCUGGCUUGUAUGUAAAUAACGAUUUUGUAUCCGCCGACUGUAUCGGACCUUGUCGGAGAGAAGAAGAGACGAAAGAAAUAGAAACGAGCGCUUGAGACACUUCGGCUACUGAACUGUAUUUUAGUGUACGGUCCACUGACAAUUGCGCAUAUCACUGGAAGUGUCAGAAGCGUCCACUGUAUGUCCGUCUUGAUAUGUUCACUCUUGACUGAUGUAUCCAUUUUAUCCAAGCCCACGGGCAAGACAAUAAAUGAAUGAUCUAUCA